AUGUCCUCGCUCUCGAUCCCGCCUCCGCUCCUGCGGCCCUCGCACUCCCCAUCUCCGGCGGCAGCGGCAGCGGCGAAUUGGAGGAAGCGCGCGGUGCCGGCGCGCGUGCGCGUGCGCGCGCGCGCUCCGGUGGCGGCACUGGCCGGCGACGGCGGGUGCGCGGGGACCGGGAUGGAGCAGCAUCUCCAGGCGAGCGCCUCCGGCAGCCCAGUGCGAGAGAAGCCUGUCAUGUCAAACAUUGGGAAAUCCACUAAUAUUCUAUGGCAUGACUGCCCAAUUGGACAACCUGAGCGACAGAAAUUGCUGGGGCAGAAAGGAUGUGUCAUAUGGAUCACAGGACUCAGCGGUUCAGGGAAAAGUACCGUUGCCUGUGCACUGAGUCGGGAAUUACACUACAGAGGCCACCACACGUAUGUUCUUGAUGGUGACAACCUCAGACAUGGCCUCAAUCGAGAUUUAAGCUUCAAGGCAGAAGACCGUACAGAAAAUAUACGAAGAGUUGGAGAAGUGGCAAAGCUUUUUGCAGAUGCUGGUACCAUAUGCAUUGCUAGUUUGAUAUCUCCAUACAGGAGAGACCGUGAUGCAUGCCGAGCUCUACUUCCAGAUUCUAGAUUUAUUGAAGUAUUUAUGGAUUUGCCACUAGAAUUAUGUGAAGCUCGUGAUCCUAAAGGGUUAUACAAGCUUGCACGCACAGGAAAGAUUAAAGGGUUCACCGGAGUUGAUGAUCCAUACGAAUCACCAGUGAAUAGUGAGAUAGUAAUUAAGAUGGAAGGUGGGGAAUGCCCUUCACCGAAAGCAAUGGCCCAGCAAGUUCUGUCCUACCUUGAGAAGAACGGAUAUCUGCAGGCUUAG
rnacentral:rRNA from 1 species